UGUUAUUAUAGUGUAAAUAACACAUUACAUUUUCGUUGUAAAGCUAAAGGUUCUACUCCUUUUAAAAACAAC
rnacentral:tRNA from 3 species